rnacentral:rRNA from 1 species
GAUGAACGCUGGCGGCGUGCUUAACACAUGCAAGUCGAACGGAAAGGCUCCUGCUUGCAGGGGUACUCGAGUGGCGAACGGGUGAGUAACACGUGGGUGAUCUGCCCUGCACUUCGGGAUAAGCCUGGGAAACUGGGUCUAAUACCGGAUAGGACGAUGGUUUGGAUGCCAUUGUGGAAAGUUUUUUCGGUGUGGGAUGAGCUCGCGGCCUAUCCGCUUGUUGGUGGGGUAAUGGCCUACCAAGGCGUCGACGGGUAGCCGGCCUGAGAGGGUGUACGGCCACAUUGGGACUGAGAUACGGCCCAGACUCCUACGGGAGGCAGCAGUGGGGAAUAUUGCACAAUGGGCGCAAGCCUGAUGCAGCGACGCCGCGUGGGGGAUGACGGCCUUCGGGUUGUAAACUGCUUUCGCUAGGGACGAAGCGCAAGUGACGGUACCUGGAGAAGAAGCACCGGCUAACUACGUG